GGCCACAGCCAUAUCACCCUGCAGCCCAAGACCAGUUACUCACUGAAGUUAAGCAGGGCUGAGCCUGGUCAGUACCUGGAUGGGAGAGCAUGCGGGAAAACUAGGUUGUUGUUGCAA
rnacentral:rRNA from 1 species